rnacentral:rRNA from 1 species
GCUUAACACAUGCAAGUCGAGGGGCAUCAGGAAGAAAGCUUGCUUUCUUUGCUGGCGACCGGCGCACGGGUGAGUAACACGUAUCCAACCUGCCCUUUACUCGGGGAUAGCCUUUCGAAAGAAAGAUUAAUACCCGAUAGCAUAAUGAUUCCGCAUGGUUUCAUUAUUAAAGGAUUCCGGUAAAGGAUGGGGAUGCGUUCCAUUAGGUUGUUGGUGAGGUAACGGCCCACCAAGCCUUCGAUGGAUAGGGGUUCUGAGAGGAAGGUCCCCCACAUUGGAACUGAGACACGGUCCAAACUCCUACGGGAGGCAGCAGUGAGGAAUAUUGGUCAAUGGGCGCUAGCCUGAACCAGCCAAGUAGCGUGAAGGAUGAAGGCUCUAUGGGUCGUAAACUUCUUUUAUAUAAGAAUAAAGUGCAGUAUGUAUACUGUUUUGUAUGUAUUAUAUGAAUAAGGAUCGGCUAACUCCGUGCCAGCAGCCGCGGUAAUACGGAGGAUCCGAGCGUUAUCCGGAUUUAUUGGGUUUAAAGGGAGCGUAGGUGGACUGGUAAGUCAGUUGUGAAAGUUUGCGGCUCAACCGUAAAAUUGCAGUUGAUACUGUCAGUCUUGAGUACAGUAGAGGUGGGCGGAAUUCGUGGUGUAGCGGUGAAAUGCUUAGAUAUCACGAAGAACUCCGAUUGCGAAGGCAGCUCACUGGACUGCAACUGACACUGAUGCUCGAAAGUGUGGGUAUCAAACAGGAUUAGAUACCCUGGUAGUCCACACAGUAAACGAUGAAUACUCGCUGUUUGCGAUAUACAGUAAGCGGCCAAGCGAAAGCAUUAAGUAUUCCACCUGGGGAGUACGCCGGCAACGGUGAAACUCAAAGGAAUUGACGGGGGCCCGCACAAGCGGAGGAACGUGUGGUUUAAUUCGAUGAUACGCGAGGAACCUUACCCGGGCUUAAAUUGCAGUGGAAUGAUGUGGAAACAUGUCAGUGAGCAAUCACCGCUGUGAAGGUGCUGCAUGGUUGUCGUCAGCUCGUGCCGUGAGGUGUCGGCUUAAGUGCCAUAACGAGCGCAACCCUUAUCUUUAGUUACUAACAGGUUAUGCUGAGGACUCUAGAGAGACUGCCGUCGUAAGAUGUGAGGAAGGUGGGGAUGACGUCAAAUCAGCACGGCCCUUACGUCCGGGGCUACACACGUGUUACAAUGGGGGGUACAGAAGGCAGCUAGCGGGUGACCGUAUGCUAAUCCCAAAAUCCUCUCUCAGUUCGGAUCGAAGUCUGCAACCCGACUUCGUGAAGCUGGAUUCGCUAGUAAUCGCGCAUCAGCCACGGCGCGGUGAAUACGUUCCCGGGCCUUGUACACACCGCCCGUCAAGCCAUGGGAGCCGGGGGUACCUGAAGUACGUAACCGCAAGGAUCGUCCUAGGGUAAAACUGGUGACUGGGGCUAAGUC